AGAUUGAACGCUGGCGGCAUGCCUUACACAUGCAAGUCGAACGGCAGCACGGGAGCAAUCCUGGUGGCGAGUGGCGAACGGGUGAGUAAUACAUCGGAACGUGCCCAAUCGUGGGGAUAACGCAGCGAAAGCUGUGCUAAUACCGCAUAAGAUCUACGGAUGAAAGCAGGGACCGCAAGGCCUUGCGCGAAUGGAGCGGCCGAUGGCAGAUUAGGUAGUUGGUGGGUAAAGGCUCACCAAGCCUUCGAUCUGUAGCUGGUCUGAGAGGACGACCAGCCACACGUGGGACUGAGACACGGCCCAGACUCCGAGGGAGGCAGCAGGUGGGGAAUUUGGACAAGUGGGACG
rnacentral:rRNA from 1 species